UCUCCGUUGGUGAACCAGCGGAGGGAUCAUUACAGGACUCGCAAGACUCCUACAACCCUGUGAACUUAACUAUAAGCACGUUGCUUCGGCGGGUGUCUCGGAGGGGGUUCUCCCUCCCCGAGACGCUAAACCCGCCGGCAGCCUACUAUACUCUGUCUCUUUGCGUUGGCAUCUCGAGUACAAUCAAACAAGUUGAAACUUUCAACAACGGAUCUCUUGGUUCUG
rnacentral:misc_RNA from 1 species